ensembl:antisense Gm16099 predicted gene 16099
GUCCACAGAGCAGCACAGGGCAGGGCCCUGGGACCCUGAAGCCACCUCAGCUUGGAGGGCCAAUCGAUUCCUUGGCAGCUAUGGGAUCCAUCCUGAGCGUGGCAGAGGCCCAGCCUGACAUGUCGACUUCGCAUCCCAACACUGGAGGCAGAGCAGGAGGACCAGGAGGUCAAGGUCAGCCUCUACAUAGUUUCUGGAAAAUGUGAGACCCUGCCUCAAACAAACAAAAAGAGGAAAAGAGAAAAAGACCCCCGAUGUUCAUCUGGUAUGUGGUCUAGGGAAGCCAUCUUGCCAAGCCUGCUGUCGCCCUGGCUCCACCCACACACUGCAAGGAAAACAGAACAAAAGUUUACUUUGUAUCAUUAAAUAUUGGGGCCAG